rfam:Candidatus Stoquefichus sp. KLE1796 genomic scaffold Scaffold678, whole genome shotgun sequence.
UUAACAGUAAUGUUAUGGAUGAAGGAAGUGGUGUAGCGACUCUUUUGAGCGUACGAACAGAAACUUGAUAUAAGGCUAAAUGGUGGAUAAGAUUGCCGAACAAAUCGAAGUCCAAAAGGUAAACGUAAAACCAAGACAGUAAAUCAAGGCGUUGUGAAAGAGAUAGGAUUAGUGA